rnacentral:tmRNA from 1 species
GGGGCCGAUCUGGAAUCGAUCGGACAGGGAAGGCUUGACGCAGCGCGCCGUGGAGCAUGCUUGCCACGUAAAAAGUAUGCACAACAACAACUGCCAACACGCAGUACGCUCUCGCUGCCUAAUUACGGUAGCGCGGUGAUGUGGUUCGACGCCCGAUAGGGCUGCACACCGUCAAACAUCGGGCUGGUUUCGCAGGCUGGCAUACCCGACGCGAAACGAGACUCACGUACGCCAUGGACCGGACACACGUUGCCGUAGACGGAGUGCCGGCCCGAGACAGGAACCGACGGACACGCGCGUAGAAGUGGCUCGCUGACUGUUUCGACACGGGGGUUCAAAUCCCCCCGGCUCCAUUC